rnacentral:misc_RNA from 1 species
CGACAAUUAAGCAAGCUUUAUGCGAUUGUUGAUUUGAUUUAAUACAGAUGUAUUAUUACCAUAAUCAUUAUUUAGAGCACUCAACUAACCUCGUAUAGAUAAANUCAAGAGCAAGCAUAACGUACGAGAAUACGACGCUGAAUGGGGCUUCUACAAGAAGGGCAAUCCUUCAUCCCUUGUUUCUCAUGGAGCUCAUUACAUGUNNNNNNNNNNNNNGGAGGAAAACUACCGACAUCUCCUCUGAAAGGCACAUCACACAUUCUCUCUCCCGUUUCACACUUCCU